rnacentral:rRNA from 1 species
UGCGUAGGCGGAUUGAUAAGUCAGUGGUGAAAACCUUCAGCUUAACUGGAGACUUGCCAUUGAUACUGUUAGUCUUGAGUACGGUCAAGGUAGGCGGAAUGUGUAAUGUAGCGGUGAAAUGCUUAGAUAUUACACAGAACACCGAUUGCGAAGGCAGCUUACUGGGCCAUUACUGACGCUGAGGCACGAAAGCGUGGGGAGCGAACAGGAUUAGAUACCCUGGUAGUC